rnacentral:rRNA from 1 species
GACGAACGCUGGCGGCGUGCUUAACACAUGCAAGUGGUGCGACGAACCAGGCUUCGGCCUGGGGCGAAGCCGCGAACGGGUGAGUAACACGUGGGCAGUCUGCCCCUUUGAUCGGGACAACCCGGGGAAACCCGGGCUAAUACCGAAUGAGGUGGCGACUCAUGAGAGUCGUCACGAAAGGAAGCUUCGGCCUCCGCGAAGGGAUGAGCCCGCGGCCCAUUAGCUUGUAGGUGGGGUAAUGGCCUACCAAGGCAGCGAUGGGUAGCUGGUCUGAGAGGACGAUCAGCCACACUGGGACUGAGGCACGGCCCAGACUCCUACGGGAGGCUGCAGUGGGGAAUCUUGCGCAAUGAGCGACAGCUUGACGCAGCAACGCCGCGUGAGGGAAGAAGGCUUUCGGGUCGUAAACCUCUUUCAGUUAGGACGAAGCUUUAUUGGUUAAUAACCAAUUGGAGUGACGGUACUUUCAGAAGAAGCCCCGGCUAACUACGUGCCAGCCGCCGCGGUAA